ACACGAGACAUUUUCUAUCUCUUUGCACACUGCUGCUGUGUGUGUCUUGCUGGUGACAGUGACAUAAUUCAUUUCCUGCAGGACACCGCUACAACUUUGUCUUCCACACGAGCUUGCACGCGGCACGGCACUGGAAGCUCGCAACGCCGACCCCCUGCACUGCUGCUGUGUGUGUCUUGCUGGUGACAGUGACAUAAUUUAUUUCCUGCAGGACACCGCUACAACUUUGUCUUCCACACGAGGCUUCCCUAAUACAGUGUAAAUGGAAGCGACUGAUGUCCUGAGACUAAGGGUCAUCCUUGAUGAUGUCAAUGCUGAGAGGCUUAUUUUGCCCUCUCGUCUUGAGACUGUAAAUGCCCUCAUAAUUGAGAUAAAAAAUAAGUUGAACCUUGCCUAUGACUUUCGGCUUCAGUUUCAAGACCCAGAAUUUGACAAUGGCCUAUGCAAUUUAGUAAACAUCGAGGACCUACCAUCCAAGGCAACCAUUAAGAUAGUUAGAUAUCUUGAGCCAGAUCUCAGUUCAACCAGCACAGAUGAUACACUGUUGUCUGAUAACACAGAUUCACUAGAUCGUCUUUGCUGAUGGCCAGAGAUCUUUGUUAUUCCAACAUUCUCCUACGAGGUGGAGCAUGCUCUAAGAGAGGGCAACUAUGCAUUUGUCAAAGAGGGGAAAACUCUAAGCUUGACUAGGGAUCAAAAACACAACAUACUGGAUGGAAUGGCUGCUGAAAUAUAUAAGCAUAAAGCAUAUCCUAGUACCAAAAAUAUUCUCAUGGCUGCAGAGGCUCUGGUGAGCAAACACCCCUGCCUAAAAGAAAAAGGUUCCGGAACAGGGUAUGAGGGUUGGAAGAACAGCCUGCGCUUCAAGAUGGGCAACUACAGGACCAAACUGAGCAGGGCUGGCAUAAAGGAUGUGGCUGUGAAUGCCGGAAAACGCAGCAGGACCUAUCCAGAAGGUGCAGCAUCCAGGGCCAAAAUCAAAAGACCCAGAAGAGGAGAAAUAAACUUCAUGCCCAAUUAUCCCCAAGGAGAAACUAAGGACACACUGGAGAAC